rnacentral:rRNA from 1 species
CCUACGGGAGGCAGCAGUGAGGAAUAUUGGUCAAUGGGCGAGAGCCUGAACCAGCCAAGUCGCGUGAGGGAAGACGGUCCUAUGGAUUGUAAACCUCUUUUGCCGGGGAGCAAAAAGCGGUACGUGUACCGCAUCGAGAGUACCCGGAGAAAAAGCAUCGGCUAACUCCGUGCCAGCAGCCGCGGUAAUACGGAGGAUGCGAGCGUUAUCCGGAUUUAUUGGGUUUAAAGGGUGCGCAGGCGGCGAGUUAAGUCAGCGGUAAAAUUUCGGGGCUCAACCCCGACGAGACGUUGAAACUGGCGUGCUAGAGUGGGCGAGAAGUAUGCGGAAUGCGUGGUGUAGCGGUGAAAUGCAUAGAUAUCACGCAGAACUCCGAUUGCGAAGGCAGCAUACCGGCGCCCAACUGACGCUCAGGCACGAAAGCGUGGGUAUCGAACAGGAUUAGAUACCCGAGUAGUC